rnacentral:rRNA from 1 species
UACGGGGGGGGCAAGCGUUGUUCGGAAUUACUGGGCGUAAAGGGCUUGUAGGUGGCCAACUAAGUCAGACGUGAAAUCCCUCAGCUUAACUGGGGAACUGCGUCUGAUACUGGAUGGCUUGAGUUUGGGAGAGGGAUGCGGAAUUCCAGGUGUAGCGGUGAAAUGCGUAGAUAUCUGGAGGAACACCGGUGGCGAAGGCGGCAUCCUGGACCAUCACUGACACUGAGGAGCGAAAGCCAGGGGAGCAAACGGG